rnacentral:lncRNA from 1 species
UCUGGGGAGUUUCAACAGUUUAUUCAUUCUUUCCAAAUAUUUAUGAAGAGGUCCUCAGUGCUGGGGACAGAGGGAGCCUUUUGAAUAAGGGGAAUGCAGUGGUCCUGUAGCAGCAGCCACUGAUGACUUUUUAAUGUGUUGUGUUUCAUGUGGCUUGAGACUGGAAAAACAGGCGAGGGCUCCUUGCCUUGAAGCUGGGCCUGUUAAAAUCCUCCUCAAAAAGGAUUCCCAAAUCCCAGGGAAGAGUGGCUGGGGGUGUCAUUUAAUGCAGUGUGGGGGCCAGAGCUGCGGCCCUGGCUGUCCCUCACCGUGCUGGGGGUAAAGGUGCCAGCACAGGGGACAGGCAGCCAGCACCGUCACUGCCCCUCCCCUCAAUUCACCAAAAUCCAGCUGGUUCCACCCAUCGGCUCACACAGGGUCAGCCAAGGCUGUGGGAGAGGCCCCUCUCCUCAAAAAGGACACACAACACCAAAGGUGCCCGUGGGUGAUUCCCCAGGGCCACACGGAGGAUGCAGUUUGUCACCUGCCGUGGAAAGUGGCAGCCUCGCCUCUGAACCAGCGCCACUUGGGAAAUGUUAUUUUGGGAUAUCACCUGAGCUUCGUGUCCAAGCACAGAAUUGUGGGUGGUGCUGUGGAGCUUCCCUCCAACUGUGAUGGGGGCUGACCAACCCCAAGCUCAAGUCCCCAAAGGCUUUGCCCUUCCAUUUCCUUUUAGUGGUAGGAAGGCAGAUCUUGCAGUGCAAGAAUUUGCAGGAAAACAGGUUUGAAGGCGUGUCAGGGGUGGAGAUCCCGCCUGGGGGUUUUCACCCUGGGGCAUUUGCAGGGUUAUUGCAGCAGUGAGAGGUCCCUGAAAUGCAGAGCUGUCAGAGGGCAUUGUCAGCAAGGAGGUACAAGAGAGAUUUCCCCAAAGAUGUUUUCCUGUUCAUUAUUUUCUCUGCACACAGGUGACUUGGGACUUGCAUUUUAAUUGCCUCAGUGGGCAGCAGCACUGCAACUCCAGCACUCAGCCAUUAGCUCUUGUAAUGGGAUGGUAUUGGAGAAUACAUAAAAACAGGUAAUUGCGUAAAUGGCAUUUUUGGAUGCCAGCGAGUGCCUCAGACCCUCGAGGAGUGACAUUUUCCAGGAGUGGAUGGGAGAAAAAGAGCAAUCACAGCACAAAACCCAAAGCCAUAGUGUUUCUGAGAGGAGUCUGGGAGGCAACAGUAAUACCCGGAGUUUUCUGGCCAGUUGGCAGCCCUGGCUGAACACAGCACUACCAGGAAACUAUGCAGUGCAUUUCAGUAAUUAGUGGCAUUUUUCCUGCCUGGCAAAUCAAACCUCAGAGGGCAUUAGAGCCUCCAUGGCGUCUCUGCUCUUGGCAGCGAAAGGGACAAAUCAGCAAAGGCACCUCAGGACUGGAUGGGUGGCUCAGGCAGAGAGAGAAAGAGAGAAAGAAAGAGAGAGAGAGGUUUCUGCUUGAUCCCGGCCACCUGCAUGUGGCUCAGGGCUCUCCCUGCACUCACAGAACACAGCAGCCACCUCACCACCCUCUGAAAAACAUGUGGUGGCCUCCUCCAGGCAUCUCCCCAAAAUAAACUCCCUCCUGCACGACCUCAGAACAAAUUGCAUUCUUCUGUGGCCGAGGAACAAGGUGUGUGUGGAGUUAAUCCCCUGCUCCAAGAGCCUGUGAGGCAAUGGCAUGCAGAGGUACAAGGUUAAAAAUAUGCCUCUAGAACUAAUGGCUGGGAACUGUAAAUACCUUCCAGGCAGUCCUUAGGCACAUCAGGAGAUGAGCAAGCAAAGCAACUGGAAUUUAUAAACUUGAAUAAUUAAUUAUUCUUUGCAAGGAGAACAAACAUUCCCAUGUGCCAGCUCUCUUAGGGCCUUUGACAACUGGGCUCCUUUCUGUAAAUAAUGUUAUGUAAGUUUAUACAUUUCAGUUAGUGCUUGUUCUUGCCUCUUCGCAGCCCAAGGAUGUUUUCACUCCAGUUUAUUAUUUCAGCUGUGGACAGAUCAUUUUGCCCCGGUGCAUCUAUAAUGGGAUUUAAAUUAAGAUGCUUGCAAGCAGUGGAACAGUAGUGAAAUAGUGUCUGGAAAACAUUGGUACAUACCCAGGGAGAAUGAAAAAACUAAAUUAGCUUUACAUUGCAGCGCUGGGCAAAGUGUCUGCAGCCUUCCCUGCUGGGCAGGACAGGAUUCCUCUGUUUGAAGAUAAAACCUGUGAAGGACCAGUGCUGUACCCCAGCUGCAUUGCAGGGCUGCUGGAGACGUGGUGUAGUGGCCAUGGGUGCUUUUAUUGCAGAGCACGGGAGCACCUUUGAGUCAUCCAGCAGCCCUGGAACUGCAGCGUGCUGCAGUCAGAGCUGCCUGAAAUGCUUAACCCCAGCGGCUUAAUCUCCAGCCAUUCCAAAUUAGUACAGCUCCAUUAACUCCAGAGGACUAUUUACAUGGGGGAGGUUAAAUGUGUACAGCAUCCGGCACAAAACCUGCAGUGAUUCCGUACAUGGGGCAGUGCUUUACUGAUUUACAAGGCUAGAUCUCAUCUCUGCUGGUUUCUGAAGUGGUUUUUUUUUUUUUUUUUUUUUUUUUUUGUAGUGUCAGGGGGAUUUCUCCAUCAAGCAGUAUAGGGAAAACCCUUCAUCUACUUCAGUUAUGUUGCUGAUCCAAAUCCCUAAUGCAGGAGAUACCUUCCCUCCAUGUCAUUCUUCAGUAACUUGUGGCUGUGAGGUUGGAUAUUAAAACUUCAUAUGUGGAUUAUUUCAUUUCUCUUUGUCCUGGUUUCUAUUUUUGAAUUAUUGUUUGUUAUAUUAUUUAUUAUCUGCAGAUCCCACAAUAACAGGAGAAGAGCUUUGUGAUCUCCUUCUUUGACUGUUGUAAUUCUGAUGUGCCACAUCCUGUACCCCGGGUGGGCUGGGCAGUAACAGUGUGUCUCAGUCAGCACUGAGCAUGGUGAAUAGCCUCUGGGUGGCUUUCAGGAGCACCAAUCCACCUGAGUGGUUACAGGAGAACAAUGGCAGGCCUUGGGGGAAACCAGGCGAGUCAUGAGCACCUGGUGGAAGGGAUGGUGCAGGACAGGGAGCUGGGAGUGAGGCCCCAGGGUGCUGGGCAGGUCCCUGCACCCAGGGCUUGUAGCUGCUCUCCUGAGAGAGCCCAGAGAGCUGGCACCAAUCAAUCCCCUCCUGGACAGAGCCUCGGGAGUGCCCCGGAGGCUGCUCCAAACCAGCCCAGGCAGGUCCCACCCCAACGCUGCCACCGUGUAAAUGAGCCCAAGCACUCUCUUCACCCUGGUUUUGGUGACCCUCCGCUCCUGCCACCCAAAGAAGGAGCCCUCAGGCAGGAGCUGCAGCCCCAGGCCUGGUGGCAAAACACUCAGUGCCUCUGCCACUGGUGUGCAGCUCCCACGGGCUGAGCGGGAUUUCACUGUGGCAGCAGCUGUGCCCAAAGCUGAGAGCUUUGCCAGGGUUGGGAGAGCCUUGGAAAACCUCCUGCACACGGUGUUGGCACAGCUUCCUUUGCCACCCAGAACCAGCCAGCCUGGAAGCAAGCACCCUCCCAGGACUGGUUUUCACUGGAGCUGAAGUUGGCACUGUGACAGUCCAAGGGAAUCUCAUCCAGGAUGUGCCUGAAAUCAAGAUGGUUUGGAAAAAUCUCAGUGACAUGUGAGGACUGGCAGCUUUCCCUCAUCUGGGAUUUUGCUGGUGCUUAAAACUACAUCUGCUAAAAAGUAAAAGCCAAGCAGAAGGGGUUUAGCUGAAGUGGUCCAGUACACUUUUCCCUAGGUGUAAAAAAAUGAGAAAAAUGACUUUGACUCUUCACCUUUGAAGAGUCUUGGCAGGAGCUUCGUCAGUUCUGCAGCUCUUCAGGUCUUGCUGCAAAACGCAUUAGGAUGCCUCUGAACAGAGGUAAGGAGAGGUGCAAGGAGCUCAUGUUUCUGGGACACAAAAAAAGAUGUUUUUUAUAGAGCAGGUGUCUUUUCUGUUUGUUGCAAAAUAAUUAUUGUCCAGUUUCUGCUACUAUAGAAAUUGAAUUUCAAGUGGAUUCUUCUCCAUCCUCUUGCAUCCUGCACUCUGCCUGUGCCUGCCUUUCGUCUGUGAGGAAAAGGAGCCUCACAAGGAGGCAAAGAGUGCUGGUCACUGCAGCCUGUGUCUGAUAACGGCAGGGACGUCCUUCCAGAGCAGGAAACCCGAUUAGAAUCCAAGCAGCUCAGGAGUAAUUAUUCUUGGCAAAUGCGAAUCAAUACCAGCACAGUGCAGCUGUGCCCACAGCUUGCAAAUAGCAGCACACAACACAACAGGGGCAACUUCCUUUGCACAGUCUCUGUCCUGUCCUGCUGGGCCUGCAGCAGCAAAGCUGCAGUGCUCCAGAGGGAAAAUGUUCUGAAGCACACGUGCCAAUCUCUUCCACCUGAGUGGUUUUGCCAGAGCUGAACCUGCCAGGCACAGCUCCCCAUCUCACCAAGGUACAAAAGCAAAGGCAAGGGAGCAGAAGACCUCUGCAGCACUUGCUGUGCUGGCUGGCCUGCGUGUGGCAGGGGCAGAAGGUGGGGAAAUGGCUGUGUGAGGAGACCACUGAAAUGUGCUGGUGUUGCUGACAGACCCUGCCGACCCUGGGAAAGGAUCUGCACUUGUCUGAAUUCCAGACUCGAACAUCUGGGUGGCAAAAAACAGGUUCAUUCCUGGAGGAGCUGAGAUGCUCCAGCUUGAAUUACUUCACCUUUGCCUUUUAAUUUUUUUCUUACUGCCGCUGAAGUUCUUGCAUGCCGCAGGAGAAAUCUUUAGUCUCUAGUCAUUAUUUACAUUUUAGCCUCUUAUCUCCCGUUCUUGUUCUCUUUGGUCACAGAAGCACGCUCAGGUUUGUCCUGUGCUCUCCAGGUGUCCUCAGUCACACCAAUCUGUCCACAAAAACCUGGAUAAGCUUUGGUCCAGCUCAGAAAAGUGAUUCCAGCUGUCCUGGCCUUAUGGAAGGGUUUGGAUUCAGGAGAGCCGGGAGGGCGUUCACAGGUGGGGACGAGCCAGCCGCGUUCCCAAGGGAAUCCUGGCAACAGCCGGAGAAAUUCCUGCUGCUUUCCCCGCGCUGGGCAGGACGUGCCGCAGCUCCGGGAGCGCUGGGAUGUGGCUCCCCGGGAAUGCAGCACAUGGCCCCGGGGCCCAUAGCUCGGCCCCUUCUCUCCGCACCUGGGCUCUGUCCCGCCCCUCUCGCUCCUGCUUUGCUGCAGGGACAGCCAGGUAACCUUGACGAUUUUAUAACCUGAAUCUCAUUCCUCAUUCUCCUUCGCUCCUGGCAAUGUACCAAUUAUUAAUUAACAGGCAAAUGCUAGAGAAAAGGCCAGUGUACAUAGCUCACUUCCAUUGAUGUAAACACAGCAGUUCCCAGGUCAGGUUUUAUUACAGUGAUCCCAAAUACUGUGAAU